AUUGAACGCUGGCGGCAGGCCUAACACAUGCAAGUCGAACGAGUGGCGGACGGGUGAGUAAUGUCUGGGAAACUGCCUGAUGGAGGGGGAUAACUACUGGAAACGGUAGCUAAUACCGCAUACCAUCAGAUGUGCCCAGAUGGGAUUAGCUAGUUGGUGGGGUAAUGGCUCACAAGGGCGCCGAUCCCUAGCUGGUCUGAGAGGAUGACCGGCCACACUGGAACUGAGACACGGUCAAGACUCCUACGGGAGGAAGCAGUGGGGAAUAUGGCACAAUGUGCGCAAGCCUGAUGCAGCGAUGCAGCGUGUAUGAAGAAGGCCUUCGGGUUGUAAAGUACUUUCAGCGGGGAGGCGUUACGCGCAGAAGAAGCACCGGCUAACUCCGUGCCAGCAGCCGCGGUAAUUC
rnacentral:rRNA from 1 species